CAGUCUGUCUCUCUUGCUCUUCCACUUCCGUCCUCCCGAGCGGCCUCGGUCCAUGUCUUGGGACGGGUGGCAAGUGGAAGAGAGCCAAUCGAAGAGACGAAGCCUACUGUGGAGGAAUCAUCGCUGCACGAAACGGGGCGUUGAUUUGCGUGUCUCGGUCCAGCAUGCGCUGCGCUGGCCGCGCUCGCGCGGCGCUAGCGUCUUCUGCGGCCGCAUCAGCGGCAGUGGAGCGGGACCUCGUGUAUGUCGCCCGCACACUGCCUGCAGCAGUUCGUCCGUCUUGUGCGGUUAGGGCAAGGCUGCCGCUGCUGCUUUUAAGCUGGAAAAGUGUCCUUGGCAGCGUCUGCAGCUCCGUUGGAACGUGCAUGGGUCCUCUGCACUCGUCAUUGCGGCACUUCAGGAGUUGUACAAGCGCACCCGAAAUCAUCGAACCGGAGGAGAUCAACCUCAUCGACGCGCAAGAGACGUGGGCCUGCUCAGCGGAAGCUGACGCCUCCAAGGCCGAAGAAAGCUCAAUCAAAUCAGCAUCGACGUCAACGCUCGCAUGGAGCGCGGCUAACUCGCCGGCACUGCCCUCCGUCUUUGCUGAUGUCAAGGUAGUGGACCCCUACGCACGGGCGCGGAUGCUCGGCUUCGUGCGACGGAAUCUCACUGCGGCUGCGCAAGCACCCGACGACAGCUCCGACGUCGCCAGUCCCGCGACUGCCGGCUUCCAGACCGAAGCGGUCUGUGGUGGAGAACUGUUUCACGCCCGUCUGCAGCUUCCCGUUACCAGGACGGCUCGGCAGCUUGUUGAAGAGAUAAGUGCUGCUGGCGGCUCGGGUGCACCCAGGGCACUGUGGGCACACGGAGUCGCCAAUACGGCGAAAGAAGCUGAGCUGCUAGCCGCCAUGCACGCGGAGCAGAUGGCGGACUUACUAGGGUAUCACGUCUUCUCCCUCCCAUCAAAGCAGCACAGGCACGCCGAGGCAGCACGCGCGGCAGGUCGCUACGCUUCCUCGCCGGAGGAUAAGGACAGUGGCCCUUCGACAGAGCAGCGGCUGGCGCAGUGGCCCCUGCCCUUGAGGCGCGUUUUGACCGACGAGGAAACGGAAGGCGGGGAAUGGCAGCUGGUGAACACGGCGUCUUCCCUGCGACACUACAUCUCCACGGAGCACACGUUGCUGUCGCCGUGCCUGCUGGAUCCCAAGUCGCGAUUCAGGAUCGAGGCCCUGUUCGCGCGUGCACCUCACGGCUGCCCUUCCUUUGCGCAACAGCUCAGGACUGAAAAGGUGCGUACGCUGACAGCGAGCAGCGCGGCUGGCGGCGGCGAAGAGGCGAUUGUGGCCCGACUCGUCUUGCCAUCACAGGUGACGGGUAUCACAAACUCCUCGAUAGAUCUCGUCGCCUCUGGCAAGGCGAUGGAGCGGUCAACAGCGGUGCUGCUGGCCUGCAUGCACGCAGAGCUCCUGCUGGAUGCCGUGGGCGUUUCUAUUUUCGACGACGUGGUGACUCAGAAAGCGCACGCUAUGGCGGCCUGGAGCCACGGACGGCCCGCACCACUACCAGGCGCAAAGCCAAAGAAUCCGUCGCACGUGCACCUGCCACAGCCGCUGAAGGAGCUCGUCGUGGCGGCAGCAGGGGAGGGUCGGUCUCGCACGUCGUCUCGCUCGGCUGAAGAGGACUGGUUUCACAGGCAUACGAUUGUCACGGAGCAGAGUGGGAGCUUUGUAGAAACGGUUGUGGGCGAGUCCACCGCGGUGGAGGACAUCACCGCGUUUCUCCACACCCACGGGGCCAUGCGGGCCGCAGCGCCGUUUCUGCAGGUGGCAAUCGGUUCUCGUGUCAAGUCCACAGUACUGCUGCCCUUGCCGGACCUCUACGGCAUUCGCGGUGGCGUGGGGAUCGCGUCGAACGCGCAUGAUGCUGACACCCUCGCUGCCAUGCACGCAUUGGAUGUGCUGUGCAUGCUCGGUGUCCCGGUAAAGGCUGCGGCGGCGAUGGACGCCGCGUGGAAGCGCGCUCGCCGCGAGCGCAUUCCAGACGUGCCCUGCGAGUCGGCGGACGUCUCCACGCCGAGCCCCCCGGCGCGCCGCUGCACUGCCAAGAAGUUAACCACGCAAGUAGCUAUAGCCGCAGUGGCCUUACCUGAGGUUUUCGAGUCCGCGGACGCAGCGCAGGCAAGCUCCUGCAACAACGCCAGCACAUCCACACUGCCGCGGCGCCGUGCGGUGAAGCGCGCACGACUGGCCUCGGAUGCAUCUGCACCGGACGAGAGCAUCCCGCAGGCAAACGCAAACGGCACGGUUGCUGCCUCUCCGCCAAGCGUGCCCGUGGUCGCGACAUCGAGAGAGACUGAAGAGAAGCGGCUGGCAGCGGUGCGGGCCGUGGUGCCAAAGGAGUUCUGGGACAUGCAGGCAGACAGCCCUGACGGAUACAUUAUGAUUGCCCCUGGCGUGCCGGAGGGAUCUGCGAUGGCUGCGUAUGCAAUUACAUCCCCGCGCAAGAUGGACAAGUCGGCCAAGGGACGCGUGUUGGACUACUUAGCGACCGUGGGCCGUCGCCUCGACGAUGUCACCGUGGUGCGGCAAGCCCUCAGCGAGGAGGAGACGGAGGGCCCACCGCGGCACCGGUGUGCACUGAAAGUGCCAGUGCCAGCCGUUUGCGGGGAAGCUCGCCUCGCGCUAGGCGAGGCAGACACAAUCGCCGACGCCGAAAACGCCGCCUGUAUGCACGCGGAGCUCAUCCUGGACACACUCGGGGUGUGCCUCUACACGGACCCUGUGAAGCAGAAGCGGCACGCUGCGGCAUGCGCGCAGUGGGGUCGCUGGGCGCCAUCGACUCCUGGCGAAGAACAGCCGAGCAGCACACCGUCCCCGCCGCCGCUGCGCCGCGAGCACGCCGGCUCGCUACACCGGGAGCGCCAAAAGGAGCCGACAAGAAAGCGGGGCAGCCGCCUCGGUACGUCGCAGAGAGCGGCAAAGACGGACGCAUCCACGGCAGAGAUGGCGGAGCAGGCGGCGUUGGUGGUGGACGCUGAGGCGUUUGACGACGUGGUGGAAUCGCAGCUCGACACCGUCAGCAAGAACCGCGUGCAAUACUACCUACGGUACGAAAACCUCAAAGCACCGUCGAUCACCUUUACCACCAACAUGGGGCACAGCGUGCUCCUGCAUGUCGCCACCUGGUCUCUUCCGGUACCUGCCCGCUUCGGCAGCGAGACGGAGUCACAGAAGUGCCUGGAGUACGCUGUCAAGGGUGCCGCCUCGACCCGGAGAGAUGCGGAGCUGCUGUCGUGGAUGCAUGCAGAGCGCACACUGGACUAUCUCGGCAUCCCUCUCUUCCCCAACUUGCCAAAGUUGCAGGCGUAUCACGCCCAACGUGCGCAACUAGAGGGGAGGGUUGCCCCGGCUGUCGUCACCGGGCCGACGGCGCCGCUGCCUCACCCCAGCGAAGUACCUGUGAAACCACUGCGGUUACACAUAAGCUUCUGUCGCGUUGAUCUGACGAUUCCGCCACCGCCGUGUCCGUCGACGGACAUGGAAGGCAACUCUUGCGUGCCCCCACAUGUAUGGGAAGCUUACGUGGAGGCGUGCGCUGUGUACGUGCUUGCGAAGCAGAUGGCGCUGAAGAACAGCUACUACGAGGAACAGCGGGUGCCGCCGACGGGCGACGUCGUGAUCGAUGCCGCCCUCGCGGAGGCGGAGGCGAAGCCCGUGGAUACAGACGCCCGAUUGCGCUUCGCGGCGUACUGCAUGACGACGCUCGGCAAGUUCGUCCCACGCUACGAUGCGUAUGUUGUCGGCCCAAUCCAUCACCGUCUGACCUACGCCACAGUUCCACUCCCCGGCUUUGACUACCUGCUAGGGCGUGGCGUGGGGCCCAACAAGGUGGUGGCCAAGCGGCGAGCCGCUAUGCACGCCUUGGCGAUCCUGCGGCGUGUCGACGAGUCGUACGACGACACGUUCCAGGUGGUCAAGAGCUUCGUGCAGAGAGCAAAUGCCGCGAAUAAGGUGAAAGGGGAUGCCCAAGCGCAUGCCGAUGACGAAUUCGACCUCGACACCUUCAGCACCCUACCUCUCAUCAACGCGGACGCCGAAAGCUCCCUGACGAGGCAGGAACGGCGCCACCUCGACCGCUUCAGCUCUCUCUUCGUCACCCAGUCGGCGUGGUAUUCGAAGAGUAGCUGUUUCACCUUGGACGGCAAAAAGCGCGCCGUUCGCAUGUACACUGUGUGCUUCGAUCUGCCGGCCCCGGAGGAGCGCCAGCUGGUGCGUUUGUUGCCGAGAGGAGAGAGCGAGUCGACGUGGAGGCGACAGCCCUCGGCGGAUACGGUCAAGCUCGAGGUAGAAAGCGUCGAGGCGACGGCGCCAGAUGCGACUCGCGUGAAAACGGGCGCCAUUUUUUCCGCGUGUGUCUCCAUCGUGGAUGAGGGUGGUCAGAAGCUGACAGCCAGCUGCAGUGGUGGUGGGCGCGUGGACAACAUGCUCAGCGCGUACGAAAAGCUGUUCACGAUGAUGGAUGGGAAGUUUCCGGCGAUGAAGUUGAUUAUGGAGCUGUUGAAACAGAACCCGUACCUGAUGCCGGAGCUGAUCCCUUCGCUGGCCAUCCCUGAUGCGGUGCGGCAGCGGAUGCAGGCGUGCCUGCGUAACCAAAAAGACUUGACCGCUGCGAUGACCUGUUCAGACGGAAAGGCGUCGUCGGCAAGCCACAAACCUAACUUGGCCGGCAGCGAUAAGGAGAAAACGGGCGGUGAGGCAGAGAACAGCUCCGCCGUUGCGCACCAGUCCUCCUACAGCGAUGCGGAGGAGUCUGCCCGCCUUGUCGAACAACUGCAGCGGCGCAUCACAAACCCCGUAUACCUGGAGAAGUUUGCUACCAGGCGUGCGGAGCUGAGCAUUGCAGAGCACAAGCAUGAAAUUCUUGAGGCGAUCCGCAGCAACCCCAUCACCAUCAUCUGCGGCACGACGGGCUGCGGUAAGACGACGCAGGUGCCUCAGUACAUCCUCGACGAAGAGACGCUCAGGGGUAACGGGGGGCGCUGCUCCAUCGUUGUCACGCAGCCACGACGGCUCAGUGCCGUGUCAAUUGCGCAGCGCGUCGCGGCAGAGCGUCUGGAGCCGCUAGAGGAGUCGACCGGGUACAUGAUCCGCUUCGACUCACGCAAAGGUCGCCACAUCACCUUCGCCACGACAGGCCUUGUUCUUCGGUUGAUGCAGUCUGACGCGCUGCUUAGCAGCUACACCCACGUCAUCAUUGAUGAAAUCCACGAGCGGGACAUGAACUCCGACUUCAUCCUGAUGCUGCUGCGACAGGUGCUCGAGAAGCGACGCGACAUCCGCAUUGUCCUGAUGAGCGCGACCUUGCAAGCCGGUGACUUUCAGGCGUACUUUGGUGGGGCCCCGCUCAUUCAGGUUGAGGGGCACAUCUUUCCGGUCAAGGAGUUCUUCUUAGAGGACCUAGUUCCGUUCGCGCGCGAGCACAACUGCCUGACGCCUCUGCUCAAGGAGGCAGCCGGCGUUGCGGGGAGUGGCGGAAAGAGAGAAGGCGAUGCCUCAACGCAGCCAGAGAUUGGUGGCGCGCGUGCCCCCGUCGUGGUGUCAAACGCGGACGACGCGGCGGCCAGGACCCCUCCCCCACGCUACGGCUUUCUCGAGGCGUCGACGCCAAUCGACUAUCCUACCAUUCAGUUCGCCAUUGAGCAAGCGCUCCGCAUGAUCGACAUCGCCGACUCCUCCAUCCUCGUGUUCCUGCCCGGGUGGGAAGACAUUCGCAAGGCGCGCGAUGUGCUGGAGCGCAAUACGUCCUUUUACGUACUGCCGCUGCACUCGGCCGUGUCGGCUGAGUCGCAACUGAAGUGUUUCCUGCCGCCACCGCCCGGCAAGGUCAAAAUUAUCCUCUCCACGAAUAUCGCUGAAAGUGGCGUGACCAUCGACGACGUCGGCGUCGUGAUCGACACCGGACGUAUGAAGCAAGUCGCGUAUGCGACGCGGAUGCGGACGUUUCUUUCAAAAACCGACUCGCGGGGCUAUAACUCGAGCCGAGUCCAAGAUGCUCCAGCUCUGGCGUCGACGUCUGUGGUGCCGGAGGAUGCACAGGGCAAGUUCUCGCACUUGAUGAACAUCUACGCGAGUCGCGCAAACUGCGUGCAGCGCCGCGGUCGUGUCGGCCGCACGCGCCCUGGCCUUUGCAUUCGUCUUUUCUCGCGAGAGCACUUCCGCAAUUUGCACGAGUUUCAAACCCCGGAGCUGCUGCGCACGCCGCUGGACAAAGUCUGCCUCACCAUCUUGAAUCUCGAGGUUGGUUCCCCUCAGCAAUUCCUGAAGACCGCGAUGGAGCCACCGCUCGAGACAGAAGUGGAGGGCGCCAUGAAGCGACUAUACGACCUCGGCGCCACCGACGAAGACGGUCAUCUCACUCCACUAGGGCGCCGCCUGGCAAAGCUGCCGCUCGAUCCGGCGACUGGCAAGACCAUUCUGCUCGGCGCCGUCUUCCGAUGCCUCGACGCCGCCCUCACAAUCGCAGCCACAGCUGAAAACGGCGUCUUCUCUCGCUCGUUCGAUGUGCGCGUCUCGUCGCGCCUCCAUCGGGAGGACCUUUCGUGCAACACCCUCUCGGACAUUCUCGCCUCCGUGAACGGGUACAACUAUUGGGUCUCCCUGCAUCGUGGAGGGUCGAUCGGGCAGUCCGCGGGGCUGAUCAAGGCGCGGCAUCUGAGCGUUCCGGCACUCAUGCAGGCCACGCUGCUGAAGCAGCAGUACUGCAACCUGCUCGUGGAAGACGGCUUCAUCGGUAAAGAAGCGAAAGUGCUGCCGUCGACGAACCACUCUCGCUUCGGGAGCGAUGAUAUGGUGUUUAUCGAAUCCUCCGAGCACUCGCGCAACUCGAUGGACGUUGGUCUGCUGAAGUGUCUGCUCAGCGCCAGCGCGCUUCCCAAAGUCGCGAUGGUUACGGGACCAUUCGUGUUGCGGACCUUGUUUGAGAAUUACAUUCUGAUGAUGAACGACAGUGUACUGAGGAUGAGCGGGCUGAACGAGACGUCGAGUCCGUUUGUGAUCUACGGCGGGCUCAUGAAAAUGGCAGAGAAGGAGACACUCAUGGCGCAUCAUCUAACCUCCGUCUCCCUCUGGUCAGUGCUGUUGAUGAGCACGCGUGCGACCCGGAUGGACUACGAUCAGGAGCUCAAGCUCGGCAUCAUGAGCAACUGGAUCUUUUUCCGCUCGAGCUACGCCACGAUUGAACUUGUGCGACGAUUCAAGGCGCUUCUUGACCGCCGCCUUUCUCGCAAGUUUGACGACCCGACGGACGCCGUCAACAAUGCCCAGCUCGACGAGCUGUGCGAGAUUCUGCGGGAGCUCGCAAACAUGCGCUACCACCCAAAUCGCCUGCAGCCCCCGUCUGUGGUGUGGGGCGAACAGGGGAAAAUUCUCUCUCCCAACAGCAACGCCGAUGACGACGCGGCUGGCGUGAAGAGUGCAACAGGAGUCGAAAGCUCUACGGAGAGCGACCUAGCCGAGUAACAGGCGCGCACGCGGCGCAGGAGGCCGGUGUUCAGUAGUUGUGGAAGGAGGAGGAGGAGGGGGGGGGUGACGGCGAGCGGCCUCAUCACUUCAGCUCUGCUCCGGCUCUGGUUCUCGUUUUCCCUUCGUCCUUCUUCUUGCUCGUUUGUGUGCGCAAGCGCACCUCCACGGCCACGGCGAUUCGGCGUCACGGAGGCGCGUCAUCAAUGAAGUGGGAAACCGGUACGCCAUCAAUACCGCGUUGCUUGCGUGGUCCUGCUGUCGUUCGCUCUCUCUCUCUCCUUUUGUCUCUGCGGGGGCGUUGAGUGAAGGAUGCAUGGCAGAGGACGAAAGCAGGGUCUCGGCUGCUGCACCAGGUGUGCACUGGUACCAACUCGAUGCCGCCAAUAAAAAAAAAGUCCCUUUUACCUCCGCCGCCUUCGACUUGCAGUUGCUAUUCUUAUGUAGGAAUCGGCGCUCUUCUCUACGGAGGCCAUAUCCUGUUGGUUUUCUUGUGGGUGUGCUGCCGGCGUUUGUAACGCGGUGCACAGCAAUCCCCUAUCAUCACAGGCGCUUCGGUGUAGUGGUUGUACUGUUCUCGGUGUGGGUUGCUCUCUGUAUCUCUCUCUCGUGUAGGAACUUUCUUUUCCUUUUUUUUUGUUGUUGUUACUUCGUGGUUUCAGACCUGCUUGUGUCUGUGCAUGUUGCAGUGAGAGCGACCGUCGGUGGCUCGCCGGUCCUGUGCUGUGUUGGGGAACGGAGAGGCGAUUUCGGCUGCUGUUUAUGUUUGCCGGCCUGGUUCAGAUGAG
rnacentral:misc_RNA from 1 species